GACGAACGCUGGCGGCGUGCCUAAUACAUGCAAGUAGAACGCACAGUUUAUACCGUAGCUUGCUACACCAUGGACUGUGAGUUGCGAACGGGUGAGUAACGCGUAGGUAACCUGCCUGGUAGCGAGGGAUAACUAUUGGAAACGAUAGCUAAUACCGCAUAAUAUUAAUUAUUGCAUGAUAAUUAAUUGAAAGGUGCAAUUGCACCACUACCAGAUGGACCUGCGUUGUAUUAGCUAGUAGGUGAGGUAACGGCUCACCUAGGCGACGAUACAUAGCCGACCUGAGAGGGUGAUCGGCCACACUGGGACUGAGACACGGCCCAGACUCCUACGGGAGGCAGCAGUAGGGAAUCUUCGGCAAUGGACGAAAGUCUGACCGAGCAACGCCGCGUGAGUGAAGAAGGUUUUCGGAUCGUAAAGCUCUGUUGUAAGAGAAGAACGGGUGUGAGAGUGGAAAGUUCACACUGUGACGGUAUCUUACCAGAAAGGGACGGCUAACUACGUG
rnacentral:rRNA from 1 species